ensembl:lncRNA
UUCACAUCCAUACCAUGCAGUGGCUGUUUUUCACAGCGAUGCAGCUGAAAGUUUUAGUCCCCCACAUCUCGAAGUGCUCCAGAGUUUCAGUAGGAAUUUAACCUUCAGUUUGCACGGGUCAGCUUCCCAAAGGCUGUGUGCCCCAGGGAUGCUGCAGGGCUCCAUGCCCACAGGGCACUGGGGGGCUUCACGCACCCUGGGACUGAUCCAGAGCCCCGUGAAGCACACAGAGAUCUUCACUGAGCCUCCAGUUGGCCUUCACAGCACUGCCCUGUCAGAAAGGUGCCGUAGGCACUGAGUUUCUUCACCUGCUGUCCUGGGAAUUAAUCCGUGGAGAUCAGACUUCCAUCCUCUGCAUCAGAGGAACUGGUGAACAGCCCGUAUCCAAAGAGAGGUGACAAUUUCACUGCAUGCACUGAGCAUCCUACCUGCUUUAUUCCACCCUCUUACAAUGAGAGGAUGAAGCUUGUGAACCAUGAGGGCUGCUACAAAAGAAAUGCCUCCUAUGUUAUGUCGGCUCACCAGGUCAGAGGUGGACAUUGGUGAGGUGGCAGCAAAAGCUGAACCUUUCCACCGAUAUUCCAUCACAUUUUGUUGCUGUGCGACUGAUGGCAGCAGAGGGAUGGUCUGACAAAACGGCAUUUGACAUAGAAGUACGUAUGGAGCAAAGGAAUGGC